rnacentral:misc_RNA from 1 species
GUUCGUAACAUGGAAAGGGUUGUUCGUAAUUCUUCACACAAAUUGCAUGCAAAUGAUGAUUGCAGUGUAAAAGUGUGGGUGCAGCGCCAUCAGAAGUAUGUUUUUUACUUCCAAGAUAAUUCUAAUGCCAAUCCAUUUAUUCUGGGUAUACAGACAGAUUGGCAGUUGCAGCAGAUGCUUCGUUAUGGGCAUAGUGGUUCUGUAGCUUCUCAUUCAACAUUU